AGAAAGUGUUCUAUCAGAGAGACUUAGGGGUUAGUGUUGCCAAUUUGACCCAAGCUAGAAUCCUCUGGAAAGAGGGGACCUCAAUUGAGAAAAUGCUUCCAGGAGAUACAGUUUUAAGGAAUUUUCUUAAUUAGUGAUUGCUAGGGAAGGGCUCAGCCCAUUGUGGAUGGUACCAUCACUGGGCUGGUGGUUCUGGAUUCUAUAAGAAAGAAGUGUACUAAGCCAGGAGGAGCAAGCCAGUAAGCAGCAUCCCUCCAUGGCCUCUGUAUCAACCCGCUGGAGUUCCUGUCCUGGCUUCCUUCAAUGACUGCCUGACCAUAGCUGAGCUGAUAUCUGAUCAUUAUAUUCUGCUCAGGAGAAGAGGGCAUCAGAUACUACAACCUGGCCAUCAGCCCCCCCCCCCAUGCCUGCUUUCUCUCCGUGGACCCCACUUUUCUGUCUCCUCCUCUGCACAGCAUCUCAAUGAAUUAGCCUGAGAGCUGUACCCAAUAAACCUGCCUUUAUAUACUUU
ensembl:antisense Gm15564 predicted gene 15564